rnacentral:rRNA from 1 species
AUACAUGCAAGUCGAACGCACUUUCGUUGAAUGAAUUAGAGGUGCUUGCACCGAAGAUGAUUUUAGCUAUAAAGUGAGUGGCGAACGGGUGAGUAACACGUGGGUAACCUGCCCAGAAGUGGGGGAUAACACCUGGAAACAGAUGCUAAUACCGCAUAACAAAGUAAACCGCAUGGUUUACUUUUAAAAGAUGGCUUCGGCUAUCACUUCUGGAUGGACCCGCGGCGUAUUAGCUAGUUGGUGAGAUAAAGGCUCACCAAGGCAGUGAUACGUAGCCGACCUGAGAGGGUAAUCGGCCACAUUGGGACUGAGACACGGCCCAGACUCCUACGGGAGGCAGCAGUAGGGAAUCUUCCACAAUGGACGAAAGUCUGAUGGAGCAACGCCGCGUGAGUGAUGAAGGCUUUAGGGUCGUAAAACUCUGUUGUUGGAGAAGAACGUGUGUGAGAGUAACUGCUCAUGCAGUGACGGUAUCCAACCAGAAAGCCACGGCUAACUACGUGCCAGCAGCCGCGGUAAUACGUAGGUGGCAAGCGUUAUCCGGAUUUAUUGGGCGUAAAGCGAGCGCAGGCGGUCUUUUAAGUCUAAUGUGAAAGCCUUCGGCUUAACCGAAGAAGUGCAUUGGAAACUGGAAGACUUGAGUGCAGAAGAGGACAGUGGAACUCCAUGUGUAGCGGUGAAAUGCGUAGAUAUAUGGAAGAACACCAGUGGCGAAGGCGGCUGUCUGGUCUGUAACUGACGCUGAGGCUC